rnacentral:misc_RNA from 1 species
AAGACUAUAGACCUGCGGAGUACCUGCGGAAGGAUCAUUAGUGAACGCCCUCACGGGCUUAUAACUAUUCCAAACCUCCGUGAACCGUGCCCUUCGGGGCUAUUUUACAAACAUGGUGUAAUGAACGUCAUAUAUCAUAACAAAACAAAACUUUUAACAACGGAUCUCU